UGCUGGUGGUUGCUAGAUUGCGGAAGUCCUUGUGACACGCCCUUCAUUGUGACACCUCCCUCUGCUGGCUCCUUGGUCACUAGGGCUCUAGAGGCAUAGCAAUCUCCUUUGGUUUGAUCAGUCAGGGAGUGGGAGAGAAAGUGGAUGGAGAUGUAAGUAGACUUUCUCAUCAGCAUCUGCAUUCUGUGCUGGUAAUGCUCCAUGGCAGUCUUAGGGAACAUUUAAAAGAUUUAGAUCAGGAAUAAUUUAAAUGCUUCAGCCAGCCCUUCUGGGCAUCUUUAUGACUCCACCCACUGUUUUGUAGCAGUGAAGGGAAGUGACUGUGGAUUCUGCUUACACUUUCAGAAAAGGAAAACUAAUAAGAUGUCACGCCUUGGAAAAGGGCGUUCUUUUUCGGCUAGUGACACAGUAGUCACUUGAUAACUCACCAUGGGAGCAUUAAGCAUGCCCUCUGGAAAAGGUAAUAUCUUGCAUUGUCUUCCUCUCCUUCCUGCUUCCCAAGGCCCAUCUUUCAAAGGACAGCCAAGGUACAAAACCCUUCAUUAUGCUGAUGUUCCUUCCAUAGUAAUAUUAGUAUUUAGUAUUUGGUAUUUGAUGUUUCCCUUUUAAACCUCCCUUCUCCACAUUAAGCAAACCCACCUCUUUCAAUGAGAUGAUGAGAAUUGUCUUAUAAUAUUCAGAGGGUGCUAUUCUGGCUACAGUAUUCAAGCACUCUCUUCACAGGAUACCCAUAAUGAUAUGCCUAGGAAAGUGAAUGCAUCUUGAACUUUGAGUCGUGAAUGUUCAAACCAGUUUAGGGAUGUAGAUCAGGAGAGGACUGUGAGUCCCAUUUCUCACAUUUUAACAGGCCUUCUCUGCAGUGGCUUCCCAUCUGUGGAAUGCUCUCCCCAGGGACGUUUGCCUGGCACCUUCAUUAUACACAUUUAGGCACCAGGCAAAAACGUUCCUUUUUAACCAGGCCUUUGGUUGACCUGAUCAACAUCCCAUACCCUUUUAAAAUGUGUUUUUUUGGGGGGAGGUUAUUGGGUUACUGCUUUUGGUUUGAUUUAAUAUGUUGUGGUCUUGUUGUGAACCACCCUGAGACCUCCGGGUAUAGGGUGGUGUAUAAGUUGAAUAAAUAAUAAAAAACAAUAAGUGUGAAUGAUUGUAGUAAUGGCAUGGAGAAUGUGUCAAGAUUUUUGAGUGAUACUAUGAAGUUACGUAUCUUUGU
rnacentral:lncRNA from 1 species